CCUACGGGUGCAGCAGUGGGGGAUAUUGCACAAUGGGGGAAACCCUGAUGCAGCGACGCCGCGUGAGUGAAGAAGUAUUUCGGUAUGUAAAGCUCUAUCAGCAGGGAAGAAAAUGACAGUACCUGACCAAGAAGCCCCGGCUAACUACGUGCCAGCAGCCGCGGUAAUACGGAGGGGGCAAGCGUUAUCCGGAUUUACUGGGUGUAAAGGGAGCGUAGGCGGUUAUGUAAGUCUGGUGUGAAAGCCCGGGGCCCAACCCCGGGACUGCUUUGGAAACUGUGUAACUGGAGUACAGGAGCGGCAGGCGGAAUUACUGGUGUAGCGGUGAAAUGCGUAGAUAUCAGGAGGAACACCGGCGGCGAAGGCGGCCUGCUGAACUGAAACUGACGUUGAGGCUCGAAAGCGUGGGGAGCAAACAGGAUUAGAUACCCUUGUAGUC
rnacentral:rRNA from 1 species